CACUGGUCGAGUCGGCCUGCGCGGAAGAUGUAACGGGGCUAAACCAUGCACCGAAGCUGCGGCAGCGAACGUAUCACUUAAAGCGAUUCAGCGGGUUACGAUUGACGGAGCGAAGCGACGUCAAAGCGUAUACAAAGUCGAGUCGGUUUAAGGAUACGUUCGUUGGGUAGGGGAGCGUUCUGUAAGCCCGUGAAGGUGGCCUGUGAGGGUUGCUGGAGGUAUCAGAAGUGCGAAUGCUGACAUAAGUAACGAUAAAGCGGGUGAAAAGCCCGCUCGCCGGAAGACCAAGGGUUCCUGUCCAACGUUAAUCGGGGCAGGGUGAGUCGACCCCUAAGGCGAGGCCGAAAGGCGUAGUCGAUGGGAAACGGGUUAAUAUUCCCGUACUUGGUGUUACUGCGAAGGGGGGACGGAGAAGGCUAUGUUGGCCGGGCGACGGUUGUCCCGGUUUAAGCGUGUAGGUGUGUGUUCCAGGUAAAUCCGGUUCACUUUAACACUGAGGCGUGACGACGAGGCACUACGGUGCUGAAGCAACAAAUGCCCUGCUUCCAGGAAAAGCCUCUAAGCAUCAGGUAACAUCAAAUCGUACCCCAAACCGACACAGGUGGUCAGGUAGAGAAUACCAAGGCGCUUGAGAGAACUCGGGUGAAGGAACUAGGCAAAAUGGUGCCGUAACUUCGGGAGAAGGCACGCUGACACGUAGGUGAAGUGAUUUACUCAUGGAGCUGAAGUCAGUCGAAGAUACCAGCUGGCUGCAACUGUUUAUUAAAAACACAGCACUGUGCAAACACGAAAGUGGACGUAUACGGUGUGACGCCUGCCCGGUGCCGGAAGGUUAAUUGAUGGGGUCAGCGCAAGCGAAGCUCCUGAUCGAAGCCCCGGUAAACGGCGGCCGUAACUAUAACGGUCCUAAGGUAGCGAAAUUCCUUGUCGGGUAAGUUCCGACCUGCACGAAUGGCGUAAUGAUGGCCAGGCUGUCUCCACCCGAGACUCAGUGAAAUUGAACUCGCUGUGAAGAUGCAGUGUACCCGCGGCAAGACGGAAAGACCCCGUGAACCUUUACUAUAGCUUGACACUGAACAUUGAGCCUUGAUGUGUAGGAUAGGUGGGAGGCUUUGAAGUGUGGACGCCAGUCUGCAUGGAGCCGACCUUGAAAUACCACCCUUUAAUGUUUGAUGUUCUAACGUGGACCCGUAAUCCGGGUUGCGGACAGUGUCUGGUGGGUAGUUUGACUGGGGCGGUCUCCUCCUAAAGAGUAACGGAGGAGCACGAAGGUUGGCUAAUCCUGGUCGGACAUCAGGAGGUUAGUGCAAUGGCAUAAGCCAGCUUGACUGCGAGCGUGACGGCGCGAGCAGGUGCGAAAGCAGGUCAUAGUGAUCCGGUGGUUCUGAAUGGAAGGGCCAUCGCUCAACGGAUAAAAGGUACUCCGGGGAUAACAGGCUGAUACCGCCCAAGAGUUCAUAUCGACGGCGGUGUUUGGCACCUCGAUGUCGGCUCAUCACAUCCUGGGGCUGAAGUAGGUCCCAAGGGUAUGGCUGUUCGCCAUUUAAAGUGGUACGCGAGCUGGGUUUAGAACGUCGUGAGACAGUUCGGUCCCUAUCUGCCGUGGGCGCUGGAGAACUGAGGGGGGCUGCUCCUAGUACGAGAGGACCGGAGUGGACGCAUCACUGGUGUUCGGGUUGUCAUGCCAAUGGCACUGCCCGGUAGCUAAAUGCGGAAGAGAUAAGUGCUGAAAGCAUCUAAGCACGAAACUUGCCCCGAGAUGAGUUCUCCCUGAGACUUAGAGUCUCCUGAAGGAACGUUGAAGACGACGACGUUGAUAGGCCGGGUGUGUAAGCGCAGCGAUGCGUUGAGCUAACCGGUACUAAUGAACCGUGAGGCUUAACCUUACAACGCCGAAG
rnacentral:rRNA from 1 species